CAGUCGCCGCGGGAAUACGGAGGGUGCAAGCGUUAAUCGGAAUUACUGGGCGUAAAGCGCACGCAGGCGGUCUGACAAGUCAGAUGUGAAAUCCCCGGGCUUAACCUGGGAACUGCAUUUGAAACUGUCAGGCUGGAGUCUUGUAGAGGGGGGUGGAAUUCCAGGUGUAGCGGUGAAAUGCGUAGAGAUCUGGAGGAAUACCGGUGGCGAAGGCGGCCCCCUGGACAAAGACUGACGCUCAGGUGCGAAAGCGUGGGGAGCAAACAGGAUUAGAUACUCCAGUAGUCCCUGUCUCUUAUAC
rnacentral:rRNA from 1 species